AAAGUCUACAGUGUGCUUCAUGAGAGCGACUCUCUGUAAACUAAUGCAAAGAAAUAUAGCACAAGUCUUUUAUUUCCAGUAAUUACUACUCUGCUUAGGCAACAAGACUUGCAACCUCAGGUCAGGCCCAUGUGUCACAAGUACCUAUAAUAGUCAGCUCAAGAAGACGCUCCAGUUCUCUCUCUCCCACACCCGCCUCUGGGAGAAGCCACAUUUUCCAACAGGUAACCUUCUCCUUUUCUGGCCCAUUGGCCCUGCUCCUGGCCUGGUAAGUAGCUACUGGGCCAGAAACUGAUGGUGACCUGGGACUUCUACAAAGCAAUGAAUAGGGCCAGCUGGGUUCUUCCUCAUUGUAAUCUGAACAGGGAAACACGAAUUGACUGUGUUAGCAGCAGCUAGGUCUAAAGUAAAAUGCAACAGAGGGGUAGGAAGCUGGUGGAAAAGGCUCUGCAGAAGGAAGAGGUGAUAAAAAGUGAAAAAGCCUCAACUUUUUUCCAGGGCUAGACACAGAAGUGCAGCUGUGAAAGAGCAAGGAACUGCAAUGAUUCAGCGAAGUCAGAGCAGCAGGCACCUGCCAAUAUAUCACAGGUCGUAACAGAAGACAGAGGGCAAAUGGCAGGACCCCGAUUAUUUCCCGUAAGGCAAAGUUCCUCAGCCUCGGCACCACUGACAUUCUGGGCGGGACAAUUCUUUGUUGUACUGUGUAUUAUAGGAUAUUUAGCAAUAUCGCUGGCCUCUACCCACUAGAUGUCAGUAGCAACCUCCUCCCCAGUUGCAACAACCAAAAAAAAAAA